UGGGGAAUAUUGCACAAUGGGGGAAACCCUGAUGCAGCGACGCCGCGUGAGUGAUGAAGUAUUUCGGUAUGUAAAGCUCUAUCAGCAGGGAAGAUAAUGACGGUACCUGACUAAGAAGCACCGGCUAAAUACGUGCCAGCAGCCGCGGUAAUACGUAUGGUGCAAGCGUUAUCCGGAUUUACUGGGUGUAAAGGGUGCGUAGGUGGUGAGACAAGUCUGAAGGGAAAAUCCGGGGCUUAACCCCGGAACUGCUUUGGAAACUGCCUGACUAGAGUACAGGAGAGGUAAGUGGAAUUCCUAGUGUAGCGGUGAAAUGCGUAGAUAUUAGGAGGAACACCAGUGGCGAAGGCGACUUACUGGACUGCUACUGACACUGAGGCACGAAAGCGUGGGGAGCAAACA
rnacentral:rRNA from 1 species